AAAUGAAAGAGCGAUAGAAGUAUCAUGAGCAAUUCAGAGGACUUCAGUAGUUUUGGUACCAGUAGUCUAUUGGCACCAUCUCUCGGGUAAGAGGCAAGCUUUUUUGGAUGGUAUGAGCUCUUGCCAUCUCUAAAGAAUGUCAAAUUCAUAUUUAUAUAUUCCUUGUGAUUAGUGAUGUCCCGCACGGUUCGCCGCGGACGGCGAACAUAUUCGCUGUUCGGUCCGCCCCCAUGUCAUCAUUGAGUAAACUUUGACCCUGUACCUCAGUCAGCAUACAC